GCCUGGGUGGCUCAGUCGGCUAAGCGUCUGACUUCAGCUCAGGUCACGAUCUCGCAGUCUGUGAGUUCGAGCCCCGCAUCGGGCU
rnacentral:tRNA from 1 species